CAUUUUUCAGCCAUUAGAUAUUAGAGUGACACAAGAUAUAUGGAUUAUGUCAAUUGUAUCGGAUUUCUUUCAACUCACUCUCAACUUCCAAGAAAACACUGUAGAGCUAUGAUUCUUUCAACUCGGUCAUCUCUCCACAACCCAAAUCGACACCAUCAACCAACCACCAGCUAAAAAUGAAGAUUAAAGGAGAUUUCUAUUAACACUUUCUUCAAUUACAUGGAAAUCAAAGGAAUUAAUAGUGUUAAUAACCCUCCCUUGGUUAUGGGUGUUUAAUUUUUAGCUUAAAGAAAGCAGACAACAAAGGGAUGAGAGAGAAAGAAA
rnacentral:lncRNA from 1 species